rnacentral:rRNA from 1 species
AGAGUUUGAUCAUGGCUCAGAUUGAACGCUGGCGGCAUGCCUUACACAUGCAAGUCGAACGGCAGCACGGGGGCAACCCUGGUGGCGAGUGGCGAACGGGUGAGUAAUAUAUCGGAACGUGCCCUAGAGUGGGGGAUAACGUAGCGAAAGUUACGCUAAUACCGCAUACGAUCUAAGGAUGAAAGCGGGGGAUCGAAAGACCUCGCGCUCGUGGAGCGGCCGAUAUCUGAUUAGCUAGUUGGUAGGGUAAAAGCCUACCAAGGCGACGAUCAGUAGCUGGUCUGAGAGGACGACCAGCCACACUGGGACUGAGACACGGCCCAGACUCCUACGGGAGGCAGCAGUGGGGAAUUUUGGACAAUGGGGGCAACCCUGAUCCAGCAAUGCCGCGUGUGUGAAGAAGGCCUUCGGGUUGUAAAGCACUUUUGUCAGGAAAGAAACGGAUUAGGCUAAUACCCUGAUCUAAUGACGGUACCUGAAGAAUAAGCACCGGCUAACUACGUGCCAGCAGCCGCGGUAAUACGUAGGGUGCAAGCGUUAAUCGGAAUUACUGGGCGUAAAGCGUGCGCAGGCGGUUAUACAAGACAGAUGUGAAAUCCCCGGGCUUAACCUGGGAACUGCAUUUGUGACUGUAUGGCUAGAAUAUAGCAGAGGGGGGUAGAAUUCCACGUAGCAGUGAAAUGCGUAGAUAUGUGGAGGAAUACCGAUGGCGAAGGCAGCCCCCUGGGCUAAUAUUGACGCUCAUGCACGAAAGCGUGGGGAGCAAACAGGAUUAGAUACCCCCGUAGUCC